rnacentral:rRNA from 1 species
GGGAGCUUGCUCCCUGAUGUUAGCGGCGGACGGGUGAGUAACACGUGGGUAACCUGCCUGUAAGACUGGGAUAACUCCGGGAAACCGGGGCUAAUACCGGAUGGUUGUUUGAACCGCAUGGUUCAGACAUAAAAGGUGGCUUCGGCUACCACUUACAGAUGGACCCGCGGCGCAUUAGCUAGUUGGUGAGGUAACGGCUCACCAAGGCGACGAUGCGUAGCCGACCUGAGAGGGUGAUCGGCCACACUGGGACUGAGACACGGCCCAGACUCCUACGGGAGGCAGCAGUAGGGAAUCUUCCGCAAUGGACGAAAGUCUGACGGAGCAACGCCGCGUGAGUGAUGAAGGUUUUCGGAUCGUAAAGCUCUGUUGUUAGGGAAGAACAAGUGCCGUUCAAAUAGGGCGGCACCUUGACGGUACCUAACCAGAAAGCCACGGCUAACUACGUGCCAGCAGCCGCGGUAAUACGUAGGUGGCAAGCGUUGUCCGGAAUUAUUGGGCGUAAAGGGCUCGCAGGCGGUUUCUUAAGUCUGAUGUGAAAGCCCCCGGCUCAACCGGGGAGGGUCAUUGGAAACUGGGGAACUUGAGUGCAGAAGAGGAGAGUGGAAUUCCACGUGUAGCGGUGAAAUGCGUAGAGAUGUGGAGGAACACCAGUGGCGAAGGCGACUCUCUGGUCUGUAACUGACGCUGA